rnacentral:lncRNA from 1 species
GUAUACAUAUUCUCAAUGGCUACAGAAAAAGUAUUUGAAAAAAAUCCAUUGAUAAUAAAAGUGCUUAUGAAAAGAAGAAUGGAACUUUCUUAUCAUGGGAAAGAUGUUUACAAAGUAACUAUAGCAAAUGUCAUUUUUAAGUUAAUAUAGUGAAAUAUUUCUCUUUAGCAUCUUAUGGACAAAACAAGAUGCCGUUUACUACUUUUAUUCAACAGUGUACUGGAGCUUCUAAUCAGUGUCAUAAGACAGAAAAAAGAAAUUAAAGGUAUUAGAAUUGGAAAGGAAUAAACAAACAUCAUUAUUUUCAGAUGAUAUGAUUGCCUAUGUAGCAAUUCUGAAAGAGGCUACAGGUAAAUUUAGAAAUAGUACUUUUCUCAAGUUUGAUAUAUAAUAUAUGAGAGGCAAAUGAAUUUCUAUAUGCUAGCAACAAUAAGCUAUAAAAUAUAACUUUACAAAAGAAUGUACAAUAGCAGUAAAAAGAUAGGGUGCCUAGAAAUUUAACAAAAACUGAGCAAAAAGAAAAUAAAAAAUAGUACAAAACAUUAAAGAUGACCUAAAUAAAUAGCAUCAUAUCAUGUUCAUCGAGGAAGAGAUCCCAUAUCUUAGAAGUAAUGUCUGCCCACAAUGAUUUAUAGAGUGCAAUGGUUUGAAUGUGUUCCUCACAAAGCAGGUGCUGGAAACUUAAUCUCCAAUGCAACUGUGUUGAAGGGUGGGCUUAUUGAGAGACAAUCAAGCCAUGAGGGCAGAGUGAAAUCAAUUAAUGCCAUUACUGUGGGAGUGAGUUCAUCAUAAAAAGCGGCAUUCACCCUCCUUUUACUCCCUCUCUUUCGCCCUUUCUCUACCUUUAUGCCAUGGAAUGACACAGUAAGAAGGCUCUUGCCAGAUGCCAGCCACACAAUCUUGGACUUCCCAGCCUUCAGAACUCUUCUUCUAGAGGUUGCCCACUUUCCCUGGCUUGCAGCCCUUUUCUUCGUCUUCAAAGUCAGCGAUCUCACGGCUCCAGACUCUGCUUCUGUGUCACAUCUCCUUCACUGAAUCUCCUGCUUCCCUCUUUCACUUAGAAGGACCAUGUGAUUUCAUUGGACCUAUCCAGAAAAUCUAGAAAAUUUCCCAUCUCAAGGUCAGCUAAUUAGCAGCUUUCAUUCUGUCUGCAAUCUUAA